GCUGGCGUUGCUCGGAAUCACUGGGCGUAAAGGGUGCGUAGGCGGGUCUUUAAGUCCGAGGUGAAAUCCUGGAGCUCAACUCCAGAACUGCCUUUGAUACUGAGGAUCUUGAGUACGGGAGAGGUGAGUGGAACUGCGAGUGUAGAGGUGAAAUUCGUAGAUAUUCGGAAGAACACCAGUGGCGAAGGCGACUCGCUGGACAGAUAUUGACGCUGAGGUGCGAAAGCGUGGGGAGCAAACAGG
rnacentral:rRNA from 1 species